rnacentral:rRNA from 1 species
GACGAACGCUGGCGGCGUGCUUAACACAUGCAAGUCGAACGAAGUGGCGAACGGGUGAGUAACGUGUAAUCAACCUGCCCUUCAGAGGGGGACAACAGUUGGAAACGACUGCUAAUACCGCAUACUGAAGGAGGGGACUGCGUUUGAUUAGCUAGUUGGAGGGGUAACGGCCCACCAAGGCGAUGAUCAGAAGCCGGUCUGGGGAGAUGAACGGCCACAUUGGGACUGGGACACGGCCCAGACUGCUACGGGAGGGAACAUGGGGGGAACUUCCGGAAUGGACGGAAGGCUGGCGGGGGAACGCCGGGGGGGUGGUGGCAGCCUUCGGGUUGUAAAGCUCUGUUUGUCGGGGCGCGGUACCGGAAUAGAAAGCCACGGCUAACUACGUGCCAGCAGCCGCGGUAAUUC